GAUGAACGCUAGCGGCAGGCUUAACACAUGCAAGUCGAGGGGCAGCAACACUUUCGGGUGGUUGGCGACCGGCGCACGGGUGCGUAACGCGUGAGUAACAUACCUAUAUCAGAGGGAUAAUCCGGGGAAACUUGGUCUAAUACCUCAUGGUUUUGGGAGGUGGCAUCAUCUUCCACAUAAAAUUUCGAUGGAUAUAGAUUGGCUCGCGUAACAUUAGCUAGAUGGUAUAGUAAUGGUUUACCAUGGCGACGAUGUUUAGGGGUUCUGAGAGGAAGGUCCCCCACACUGGAACUGAGACACGGUCCAGACUCCUACGGGAGGCAGCAGUGAGGAAUAUUGGUCAAUGGUCGGAAGACUGAACCAGCCAUGCCGCGUGCAGGAAGACGGUUCUAUGGAUUGUAAACUGCUUUUGUAUGGGAGCAAUAAUGUGUAUGUAUACACAGAUGAGAGUACCAUACGAAUAAGCACCGGCUAACUCCGUGCCAGCAGCCGCGGUAAUACGGAGGGUGCAAGCGUUAUCCGGAAUUAUUGGGUUUAAAGGGUGCGUAGGCUGUAUUAUAAGUCAGUGGUAAAAUGUUCCGGCUUAACCGGAGAUGUGCCAUUGAUACUGUAAUGCUGGAAUACGGAUGCUGUGGGAGGAAUGUGUAGUGUAGCGGUGAAAUGCAUAGAUAUUACACAGAACACCGAUUGCGAAGGCAUCUCACAAAGCCGUUAUUGACGCUGAUGCACGAAAGCGUGGGGAUCAAACAGGAUUAGAUACCCUGGUAGUCCACGCAGUAAACGAUGAUAACUAGUUGUUGGCGAUAUACCGUCAGUGACCAAGCGAAAGCGAUAAGUUAUCCACCUGGGGAGUACGUUCGCAAGAGUGAAACUCAAAGGAAUUGACGGGGGCCCGCACAAGCGGAGGAACAUGUGGUUUAAUUCGAUGAUACGCGAGGAACCUUACCCGGGCUCGAACGGUGCAGGAAUUACGCAGAGAUGCGUAAGCUAGCAAUAGUCUGUAUCGAGGUGCUGCAUGGUUGUCGUCAGCUCGUGCCGUGAGGUGUCGGCUUAAGUGCCAUAACGAGCGCAACCCUUGUCGUUAGUUGCCAUCAGGUUAAGCUGGGGACUCUGACGAGACUGCCACCGUAAGGUGUGAGGAAGGGGGGGAUGACGUCAAAUCAGCACGGCCCUUACGUCCGGGGCGACACACGUGUUACAAUGGGGGGUACAGAGGGCAGCUACCAGGUGACUGGAUGCGAAUCUCUAAAACCCUUCUCAGUUCGGAUCGAAGUCUGCAACUCGACUUCGUGAAGUUGGAUUCGCUAGUAAUCGCGCAUCAGCCAUGGCGCGGUGAAUACGUUCCCGGGCCUUGUACACACCGCCCGUCAAGCCAUGGAAGCUGGGGGUGCCUGAAGUCCGAGACCGCGAGGAUCGGCCUAAGGCAAAACUAGUAACUGGGGCU
rnacentral:rRNA from 1 species